rnacentral:rRNA from 1 species
UACAGAGGGGGCAAGCGUUAUUCGGAAUUAUUGGGCGUAAAGGGCGCGUAGGCGGCUUUGCAAGUGACGGGUGAAAGCCCUCGGCUUAACCGAGGAACUGCCUGUCAGACUGUGAGGCUUGAGACCGGGAGAGGUGAGUGGAAUUCCCAGUGUAGCGGUGAAAUGCGUAGAUAUUGGGAGGAACACCAGUGGCGAAGGCGGCUCACUGGACCGGAACUGACGCUGAGGCGCAAAAGCGUGGGGAGCAAACAGG